rnacentral:lncRNA from 1 species
CAUUGAGGUACUCACUACUAACAUGUCGGAAACAAUAAACGUCGUUAUCAAGUAUUAUAUUUUACAAAGAUGUCAUUGACCGUCAGGAAUUUUAGGUUUUUUAUGCACAUGAUUCUUACUUCAUUAUUCAGGGAUAUAAAAGACGGCGAGCAGAGGCACGGUGGUUAGCACUAAGGAAAAACGUUUAGCGGCAUUUCUUCCUCUUUAUGGGGGCGAUAAAAUAAGUGCUAAAAUGAACGAAGUCUUGUGUCUGUAUUAGAAAAGUUAUUAUUCAGAUAUAUUAAAAAGCGCAGGAAAAUGUUUCACAUUCUGAGUACGAAUCACUUUUUCUUUCAUUCUUUCGGUGUCGAUGAAAGAUACUACCAGUCAAGUCCUUGGUUCGAUAAUGUCGACUAAUUCCCUCUUCUAAAAGUUACUUACCAUGUACCUAAAUUAAGUACCGCUGUGUCCUUUAUAUAAAUAUUUCCAUGAUCAUUGCUCUGACGAAUUUCUAGUCUAGUACUUCAGACGAUAAUUUUAAACGUAUCAUCCGCUUCUCUGUUGAGCUUCCUCUUAGUCAUAAGACCUUUUAUCUAUUAUGUUCUUUACUUGAAGAGCUGCUUUCUGGAACUGAGAACCAUCGUCUUGUUUUCCUCUGGUAUAUGAUUUUCAGUCCUUUAAGCUUUCAUUCAAUCGAUAUCUUAUUCAUUUGUUAGUCCUUCUGUCCCUUCUUUGUAUACUCUGUCGUUAUGGUGCUCUCAAACCUUGUUUGAGGUAAAAUGGCAUUGAAAAAUAUCAAAAAUAUAAAGCGCUGGAUGUGCAUAAUCGUUAGAGCGUUCGAAAUAAACUAUUAUAGUAUUAAUUUUGACGCUUUACAUCCUGAGUUCGAACCUCAACAAGGUAAAGUUUGUUUCUCCUCCUUCCAGUGGCGAUGAAACAAAUGAUAUUCCCUUCCUCCAAAAAACAGUCGAUCUUUUGCCUAAAUCAGAAACCUUUAUUGAAAGGUAAACGGUUUUUUUUUCUGAAACAAAAGUUUUUAUUCCUAUGUUCCAGCAUAUAAUGGCUUCAAACUUUAGCACAAGGCCUGCAAUUUUAGUGGGAUAGGGACAAGUCGCUUACAUUGACAGUAUUCAACUGGUACUUAUAUUUCAACGGCUCCGAAAGUGUUAAAGGCAAGGCCAGCUUAGGUGGGAUUCGAACUCAAAACGAAAGGAACCAGAACAAAUGCAGCUAACGGUUUUAUCCUGUGUAGUAAUGAUUCUGCCAGUUCACUGCCUUCGUGUUUCAAUACAUAACGGUUUCAAGUUUUAGCAAGGGCCUUCAUUUGCGGUGGAGUGACUAAUUCGAUUACAUUCACCCCAGUGCUUAACUGGUACUUAUUUUAUCGACCCCGAAAAGAAAAUAAGUCGACUGCAGUGAAGUUCGAACUCACUACGCAAAAAGGAGCGAACGAUUUUGGGGAUCUAAUGCGCGAAGCGUAGGGCACCUUAACCAGACAUUUGGUUCAUCCCACAUCACCAAUUCUGCUUACCAAAAGUGGCCCACUUGAUACCGCUUAUUCACCGCGUUGCAGAGGCUGCGAUAUACGGCCGCCUUCGAGUUCGAGAGUAGAUCGAGGCCGUCAACGUCUCCAGGGCCUCCAGUCGAUCGCUUUACCGGACGGAACUGCGUGUCGUUACCCCGCUGGCGUCAGCUGUCCUAAGGGAAACUUCGGAGGAAACCAGCUACUAGACGGCUCGAUUGGUCUUUCGCCCCUACACCCGCUUACGACGAUCGAUUUGCACGACAGAGCCGCUUCGAACUUCCACCAGACUGGGCGUAGAUCGCCAUCUUUCGGGUCUCCGGCCGCUUGCUACACCUGAGUCGGAGUGAGAACGCGAUGACGCGCAGAAACGCGAUCACGAACGCGCGGACGCGACCAGGGAACGAUAUUGGCGGCGCACCGCCUUAACGUGUUACAAUGCAUAAUGACACUGAAGCGAAUAUUGUGCCUUACAUUAUUUCUGUUUUCAUAUUCAGAGAUAAACACAUUAAGCAAUUGAGAAUUAAUUGUUUUCUCCUGUAAUUCAUGGGGCUGUUCUUCCAGUUUUCUGUUUAUAUGACAUGUGAAUACCCAAUGCGUGGCAGUAUGAAUAAAUAUACAUAUGUUCCUUCAAUUCAAAAACCAUGUUCGCGUGUUUUGUAGAUUAGUCGUACGGAUAUACAAAGGAAUUUGAAUAAUAUCUGCCAAAUAUAAGACAUAAAUAAAUAUUCUCUUUCUAUAUUAAAUGUAUUUAUACGUAUUUCGAAAACGAACAAAAUACUUUACACUUGCAAUAUCUUAAUACAAAUAAUCAUUAUCUGAUAAUUCUAUUGAAUAAAAUGUAGACAGUAAUCUAGUUAGCUUAACUCUGUUGUCUGUUAUGAUGUUAACGUCGUUAUUGCUCCUUAGUGGAAAGUAUAUUAACAUCUGAAUCUACUAGGUUGCAGCUAAUAUAUUCAUAUGGCUUAAAUAUUACGCUUCAUUAAAUAGCUGGUUCUA